rnacentral:rRNA from 1 species
UACGAAGGGGGCUAGCGUUGCUCGGAAUCACUGGGCGUAAAGCGCACGUAGGCGGAUCUUUAAGUCAGGGGUGAAAUCCUGGAGCUCAACUCCAGAACUGCCUUUGAUACUGGGGAUCUCGAGUCCGGAAGAGGUGAGUGGAACUCCGAGUGUAGAGGUGAAAUUCGUAGAUAUUCGGAAGAACACCAGUGGCGAAGGCGGCUCACUGGUCCGGUACUGACGCUGAGGUGCGAAAGCGUGGGGAGCAAACAGA